rnacentral:tRNA from 1 species
AAGAAAUUAGUUAAUUUAUAAUACUAACUUGUCAUGUUAGAGUUAUCAGGUUUGAUAUUUCUUU